rfam:Candidatus Roizmanbacteria bacterium RIFCSPLOWO2_01_FTLL_42_14 rifcsplowo2_01_scaffold_11676, whole genome shotgun sequence.
ACGUAAAAAUAAAUCUUUUUGUCCAUAACAUAAUAGGAAAAUAUAAAUCUGGCUAUAUGCUGGAACAUCUUGAUAAGAGUAGGUUACUCGGAUAUAAUCCAGUGAAAAUAUCUGCUCGUUUUACGGAGUUGCCUUUGGGCUCCUGUAAGGCAAGACAAUCAGCAGGAAAGACUAGAUAUAAACGAUCUUCACCAUUGAAGAUAUGAAAUCUAGAAUCCCCACAGACUAUACGCCAGACAUAGCGGUAUAAUAAUGCUGCUUAAAGAUAUAGUCGAAUCCCUAUGGUGACAUAGGG